UACGAAGGGUGCAAACGUUGCUCGGAAUUAUUGGGCGUAAAGCGCACGUAGGCGGCUUAGCAAGUCGGAUGUGAAAUCCCUCGGCUCAACCAAGGAAGUGCAUCCGAAACUGCUGAGCUUGAGUACGAAAGAGGAUCGCGGAAUUCCCGGUGUAGAGGUGAAAUUCGUAGAUAUUCGGAGGAACACCAGUGGCGAAGGCGGCUCACUGGUCCACAACUGACGCUGAGGUGCAAAAGCGUGGGGAGCAAACAGG
rnacentral:rRNA from 1 species